rfam:Eutrema salsugineum unplaced genomic scaffold scaffold_10, whole genome shotgun sequence.
AAUUGCCUUUGGUAUCUGAUGUCCAAAUUUAAAAAAGGUAGUUGGACAUUUCGUAAUUCAAGGCAUAAAUUGAAUUAAAACAGGUUUUGCGACACUGAUUGCUUUCUCAUAAUAAGCUUUCUGUUACUGUACCCCUGUUUAUAUCU